AUGUCGAAUCCUUUCUACGUUGCCGGUGAUUCCUACUGUGGUAUUACUGUGCCAGGCAUCACCCUUGGAAUAGCUAAAGGGAUAGAAGAUGGCAGUGGAUCAGCUCUCAAUCUAAAGGGCUACCUUGUGGGGAAUCCAGUCACAGCUUAUUGGUACUACGAUAAUCCAGCUAAAAUUCCAUUUGCACACGGGAAGGGUCUCAUAUCUGACGAAAUGUACCAGGAGUACAAGGAGAGCUGCAGUGCAUGGGAAUUCAGCCCGGAGUGCACAAAAAGUCAUGCUGCCAUCGACGAGUGUGUCAAGGAUAUAUGCCCAAACCACAUCCUGGAGCGCCUGUGCGCUUUCGCGAGCCCGCACCCAUACAAUCUGAAACUGAAUUCAAGCGCACGAGAGAUGCUCCAGCUGCAGGAGGACUACACUGCCAGGGCCGGGCUUCAGCUGUCUGAGAUUUCUACAGAGUGUAGAACCGCGGAAUAUGCGAUGUCCAUGAUAUGGGCGAACAAUGACACUGUCAGAGAGGCUCUUGGUGUCCACAAAGGAACGGUUUCUUCAUGGCUAAGAUGCAACUUCGACAUACGGUACACCAACGAUAUUUUCAGCUCGGUGGAGCACCAUCUGGAUGUGACCACCAGAGGCUACAGGAGCCUGAUCUACAGCGGCGAUCAUGACAUGAUUGUACCUUCCAUCGGCACGCAGGCCUGGAUCAGGUCUCUGAACUUCUCCGUUGUGGAUGAGUGGAGACCGUGGUAUGUCGAUGCACAAGUUGCAGGAUAUACAAGGUCAUACUCAAAUAACCUCACCUUCGCAACUGUCAAGGGCGGUGGACAUACUGCUCCGGAGUACAUGCCAAAGCAAUGCCUUGCUAUGUUUGCAAGGUGGCUUUCUGGUGAGCCUCUUUGA
rnacentral:rRNA from 1 species